CAAAAACACAAUUUAGUCACAACUAAGACAACCACCGGAUCAACACAAUUGGGAACGAAAUCAACGAUUAGACAUCAGUGGACACAUUGACGACAACAAUGGCUUCAAAUAAGUCACGUUAUUGAUGUCCAUUUUGGUUGAUAUUAGUAUUUUCUAUUCUU